AAUAUUGCGCAAUGGGGGAAACCCUGACGCAGCGACGCCGCGUGAGUGAAGAAGGCCUUCGGGUCGUAAAGCUCUGUCCUCAGGGAAGAAGGAAGUGACGGUACCUGAGGAGGAGGCCUCGGCUAACUACGUGCCAGCAGCCGCGGUAAAACGUAGCGGGCGAGCGUUGUCCGGAAUUAUUGGGCGUAAAGGGUGCGUAGGCGGCCAAGCAAGUCAGAUGUGAAAGACCACGGCUUAACCGAGGGGUUGCAUUUGAAACUGUUUGGCCUGAGUACUAGAGAGGGUAGUGGAAUUCUCGGUGUAGCGGGGAAAUGCGUAGAUAUCGGGAGGAACACCAGUGGCGAAGGCGACUACCUGGACAGUAACUGACGCUGAGGCACGAAAGCUAGGGUAGCAAAC
rnacentral:rRNA from 1 species